rnacentral:rRNA from 1 species
GACGAACGCUGGCGGCGUGCUUAACACAUGCAAGUCGAACGGGAUUUCGUAAACAGAAACCUCGGUGGAAGAUUACUAAUGAGAGUGGCGAACGGGUGAGUAACGCGUGAGCAACCUGCCUAUGACAGUGGGAUAGCCUCGGGAAACCGGGAUUAAUACCGCAUAAAAUCGUAGAAACACAUGUUUUAACGGUCAAAGAUUUAUCGGUCAUAGAUGGGCUCGCGUCUGAUUAGCUAGUUGGUGAGAUAACAGCCCACCAAGGCGACGAUCAGUAGCCGGUCUGAGAGGAUGAACGGCCACAUUGGAACUGGGACACGGUCCAAACUCCUACGGGAGGCAGCAGUGGGGAAUAUUGCACAAUGGGGGAAACCCUGAUGCAGCGACGCCGCGUGAACGAAGAAGGUAUUCGUAUCGUAAAGUUCUGUCAUAUGGGAAGAUAAUGACAGUACCAUAGAAGAAAGCUCCGGCUAAAUACGU